rnacentral:rRNA from 1 species
AGUGGCGGACGGGUGAGUAACGCGUGGGUAACCUGCCUCAUAGAGGGGGACGAACAGUUGGAAACGACUGCUAAUACCGCAUAAGCCCACGGGUCGGCAUCGACCAGAGGGAAAAGGAGCAAUCCGCUUUGAGAUGGCCUCGCGUCCGAUUAGCUAGUUGGUGAGGUAACGGCCCACCAAGGCAACGAUCAGUAGCCGACCUGAGAGGGUGACCGGCCACAUUGGGACUGAGACACGGCCCAAACUCCUACGGGAGGCAGCAUG